GACAGAGGCCUCGAGCGUUAGGCGGAAUCACUGGGCUUAAAGCGUGUGUAGGCGGAUCGUUAAGUACCUUGUGAAAUCCCACAGCUCAACUGUGGAACUGCAUUCGAAACUGCUAGGCUAGAGUAUGGAAGGGGUGAAGGGAAUUCCCGGUGUAAGGGUGAAAUCUGCAGAGAUCGGGAGGAAUACCUGUCGCGAAGGCGCUUCACUGGUCCACUACUGACGCUCAGGGACGAAAGCUAGGGUAGCAAACGGG
rnacentral:rRNA from 1 species